rnacentral:rRNA from 1 species
CCUGUUUGAAGAAGGGGGGACCAUCCUCCAAGGCUAAAUACUCCUGAUUGACCGAUAGUGAACCAGUACUGUGAAGGAAAGGCGAAAAGAACCCCGGUGAGGGGAGUGAAAUAGAACCUGAAACCUUGUACGUACAAGCAGUGGGAGCCCCAUCACUUAAUCCGAUUGGAAGGUGAUGAAAAGCAACCGCACUUAAACAAUGGUAAGAGGAGCGAAGCGAGUCAAACCACCCAAAAGAAGCAGUGGGAUUAAGUGAUGGGGUGACUGCGUACCUUUUGUAUAAUGGGUCAGCGACUUAUAUUUUGUAGCGAGGUUAACCGAAUAGGGGAGCCGAAGGGAAACCGAGUCUUAACUGGGCGAAUAGUUGCAAGGUAUAGACCCGAAACCCGGUGAUCUAGCCAUGGGCAGGUUGAAGGUUGGGUAACACUAACUGGAGGACCGAACCGACUAAUGUUGAAAAAUUAGCGGAUGACUUGUGGCUGGGGGUGAAAGGCCAAUCAAACCGGGAGAUAGCUGGUUCUCCCCGAAAUCUAUUUAGGUAGAGCCUUGAGGUGACACCUUUGGGGGUAGAGCACUGUUUCGGCUAGGGGUCCAUCCCGGAUUACCAACCCGAUGCAAACUACGAAUACCAAAGAGUGAUACUCAGGAGACACACGGCGGGUGCUAACGUCCGUCGUGGAGAGGGAAACAACCCAGACCGCCAGCUAAGGUCCCCAAGUCUAUAUUAAGUGGGAAACGAAGUGGGAAGGC